GUCAGGACAGCCCCCGUCAGGACAGCCCCCGUCAGGACAGUGCUCAACCUGCGAGGCAAAGAAGGAGGCGUGGUCUGCCGGAUCCCGUAACAAUUCAAAAUGAAGGGCGAAUACCAAAACCCAAAAAAACAUUUACAUUUCCAACGGGACAAUUAGCGAAAGGACGAGGACGCGGACGCAUACAACGGUAUUGAUGAAGCUGGUUGAGGAUGGCGCUGUACUGCACCUUGUUAUGCCGCUGAUAUUUGUGUCUUUAUUGUAAAUUUAUUGUCAAUAUGAUUUUAAUUUAUAAUUAGGUUGAAUACAUAAAUUUCUGUUUUAAGUUGAGUUUUUGAUUAUGAACGUUCAAUAUUUGAAUUACUGAUGACAAACUAAUGAUUUGUGAAGUACUAUAUAAUAUUUGAUUAUUGGUACUUAUUAUUUUA